ACAAGUUCACAUAUUAAAUUUCAUGAUUUUUGGAUAUACCCAUAAUUUAUUAAAAAUCAUAGGAGGUUUAUCUAUUAAUAAACAAAGGCAAUUUAUGUAUACCUGAAAAUUACCAGAAAAUAAAACCUAACAUUUUUCUUAUGCUCUAUCCAUUUUAUGGAAGCUAUACAAAAAUUUUCACAAUUUUUGAACCAGCACAUGAUUUAAUACAUAAAAUCAAACAUAACUCAAAAACUACAAAAAAAGAAAAAGAAAACGCUACUGUGCCACUGCGGCCCAGAAGCUCGGCCCA
rnacentral:lncRNA from 1 species